rnacentral:rRNA from 1 species
AUCUACGGCCAUACCACGGGAAACGCACAGGAUCCCGUCCGAUCUCCUAAGUACGUAAUGAGGUGGGGGACCACUCGUGAAUCCCAGAUGCCGUAGGUU